UAUGAAGAACGUAGCGAAAUGCGAUAAGUAAUGUGAAUUGCAGAAUUCAGUGAAUCAUCGAAUCUUUGAACGCACAUUGCGCCCGCCAGUAUUCUGGCGGGCAUGCCUGUUCGAGCGUCAUUUCAACCAUCAAGCCCCCGGCUUGUGUUGGGGACCUGCGGCUGCCGCAGGCCCUGAAAACCAGUGGCGGGCUCGCUGUCACACCGAGCGUAGUAGAUUUUCAUCUCGCUCAGGGCGUGCUGCGGGUUCCGGCCGUAAAAAGCCUUAUUUACCCAAGGUUGACCUCGGAUCAGGUAGGAAGACCCGCUGAACUUAAGCAUAUCAAUAAGCGGAGGA
rnacentral:misc_RNA from 1 species